rnacentral:lncRNA from 1 species
CUCAUAUCCAAAAAGACUGCAAUGUGCGGCUGUUAGAACCCAGCUUUUGUCAAUAAUUGCUCCUCCACAUUGAUGGGUAAAAUUUACACCAGUUUUAAACUGAAGAGACGCCAUCCAUGGAUGAUCUUCUAUAUUGGCAUUGUCACCAUUGAUAAUCUUUACAAUUGCAGCAGCCGAAAAAGCCUGAAUUAUGAUAUAACAUUAAUUCUAAAUAUAUUCUUUAUCAAAUGUCAAGUAAAGAAUAUUUAUUUAUCGGAAAUGCCACAUUAUCUAUCGUUUUUGUGAAUGCGAUUAUACAAAUGUUAUAAUGAAAUCUCAAAAUUAUGACUAAUUCAUCAAAGC